rnacentral:rRNA from 1 species
UGGGGGAUAUUGCACAAUGGGCGAAAGCCUGAUGCAGCGACGCCGCGUGGGGGAUGAAGGCUUUCGGGUUGUAAACCUCUUUCGCUAUCGAACAAGGCCCGCUUAGGGUGGGUUGAGGGUAGGUGGAGAAGAAGCGCCGGCUAACUACGUGCCAGCAGCCGCGGUAAUACGUAGGGCGCGAGCGUUGUCCGGAAUUAUUGGGCGUAAAGGGCUUGUAGGCGGCUUGUUGCGUCUGCUGUGAAAACGCGGGGCUUAACUUCGCGCGUGCAGUGGGUACGGGCAGGCUUGAGUGUGGUAGGGGUGACUGGAAUUCCAGGUGUAGCGGUGGAAUGCGCAGAUAUCUGGAGGAACACCGAUGGCGAAGGCAGGUCACUGGGCCAUUACUGACGCUGAGGAGCGAAAGCAUGGGUAGCGAACAGG